rnacentral:rRNA from 1 species
CAGUAGGGGAGUGAGAAUGUUGGCAUGAGUUGCGAGAUGUGGGUGAGAGUCCCACAGGCCGUAAACCCAAGGUUUCCAGGGGAAGGGUCGUCCGCCCUGGGUUAGUCGGGACCUAAGCUGAGGCCGAAAGGUUUAGGUGAUGGACAACAGGUUGAUAUUCCUGUACUACCGAUAACCGUUUGAGAGAAGGGAUGACACAGUAGGAUAAGCUAAGCAC